rnacentral:rRNA from 1 species
AGCGAACGCUGGCGGCAGGCUUAACACAUGCAAGUCGAACGGUCCUUCGGGAUAGUGGUGGACGGGUGAGUAACACGUGGGAACGUACCCUUAGGUUCGGAACAACACAGGGAAACUUGUGCUGAUACCGGAUAAGCCCUUCGGGGGAAAGAUUUAUCGCCUUUGGAGCGGCCCGCGUCUGAUUAGCUUGUUGGUGAGGUAAUGGCUCACCAAGGCUACGAUCAGUAGCUGGUCUGAGAGGAUGGCCAGCCACACUGGGACUGAGACACGGCCCAGACUCCUACGGGAGGCAGCAGUGGGGAAUCUUGCGCAAUGGGCGAAAGCCUGACGCAGCCAUGCCGCGUGGAUGAUGAAGGUCUUAGGAUUGUAAAAUCCUUUCACCGGGGACGAUAAUGACGGUACCCGGAGAAGAAGCCCCGGCUAACUUCGUGCCAGCAGCCGCCGUAA